rnacentral:rRNA from 1 species
UGCUGAAUUAUUCGCCAAUGCGCGAAAGCGUGACGGUGCGACGCCGCGUGCGGGACGAAGGCCCUAGGGUCGUAAACCGCUGUCAGGGUUUCGGAAACCGUAGAGGUUAAUAGCCUCUGCGCUGACCCGACCCAAAGGAAGCACAGGCUAAUCUCGUGCCAGCAGCCGCGGUAAUACGAGAUGUGCGAGCGUUGUUCGGAAUUACUGGGCAUAAAGGGUGCGCAGGCGGCCAUGUUAGUCAGGUGUGAAAUCCCUCGGCUCAACCGGGGAAUUGCAUCUGAUACUGCAUGGCUUGAGAACGAAAGGGGCAAGCGGAGUUCCAGGUGUAGCGGUGGAAUGCGUAGAUAUCUGGGAGAACGCCAAUGGCGAAGGCAGCUUGCUGGGUCGUUUCUGACGCUCAUGCACGAAAGCUAGGGGAGCAAACA